GGCGGCGUAGCUCAGUUGGUCAGAGCAACGGAAUCAUAAUCCGUGAGUCCGGGGUUCAAAUCCCUGCGCCGCUA
rnacentral:tRNA from 1 species